UAAGACCAAACUCUUGGGCUACCCAGCUAAGCAAAGAAGCCCAGAUUAUUCCUUCCUUGGCCAGGGCCCCACCCAGGGGUCAUCAGUUAGCACAGUGGUGCAGGGAAGUUGAGGGACAGAGGCCUACCCACACAGCCAGAGACCUGAGCAGAAGAAGGCCCAGGCACCCGGCGCCCACCCCACCGUGCACUUGGGUCAGAUGCAGCACAGACUGCCAGUUAAGUAAAGAGACAGCCAGUUGCCAACAGCGCUGGAAACCCAGGGAAAGCCCCCACUCGCUCACUGCACCGGAGUGCCGAUUAGAUGUAUAAUUGCUGAGCUUCCGUUUCAGAAUCUGUCCAAGGCAAGGAGACGACAAA
rnacentral:lncRNA from 1 species